GCCCUGGGACGACCCGGGGUCCAACGCUACAUCCGGGGACGGCCCCC
rnacentral:ncRNA from 1 species